UGCUAUGGCGGCUGUGCGUCGGAGACCUUCGGGUCUGCCGGUUUCCUGGAUACCGGUUCGUCAACCUUCGCACAGCUGCCACCCAU
rnacentral:antisense_RNA from 21 species